AAGAGGUUAGUUAAUUAAUAACAUUAGUAUGUCAUACUAAAAUUAUUGGGAAAUCUAAUACAUCUUU
rnacentral:tRNA from 1 species